rnacentral:rRNA from 1 species
UAAGGAAUAUUGGACAAUGGAGGCAACUCUGAUCCAGCCAUGCCGCGUGAAGGAAUAAGGCCCUAUGGGUUGUAAACUUCUUUUAGACGGGACAAAACCCCUUUACGUGUAAAGGGUUGAUGGUACUGUCAGAAUAAGCAUCGGCUAACUUCGUGCCAGCAGCCGCGGUAAUACGAAGGAUGCAAGCGUUAUCCGGAAUUAUUGGGUUUAAAGGGUGCGUAGGCGGACUAAUAAGUCAGUGGUGAAAGCCUGCAGCUUAACUGCAGAAUUGCCAUUGAUACUGUUAGUCUUGAGUACAGUUGAGGUAGGCGGAAUGUGUCAUGUAGCGGUUAAAUGCUUAGAUAUGACACAGAACACCGAUUGCGAAGGCAGCUUGCUAAGCUGUAACUGACGCUGAGGCACGAAAGCGUGGGGAGCAAACA